UUUCCGGUUGAUCCCUGCCGGACCUUGACUGCUAUUCGGAUUGAUACUAAGCCAUUGCGAGUCAUUUGUAGGUAAUACAAGGGCAGACUGGCUCAGUAACGUCGUUAGUUCAACUCUACCCUAUGGACUGGGAAUAACCUCGGGAAAGCUGAGAAUAAUGCCCGAUAGAACAUUAUGUCCUGGUAAUGGUUUUAUGUUCCAAAUUGAUUUAUCGCUCGUAGGAUUGGGACUUGCGGCCUAUCAGUUGUGUUUGGUGAGGUUAAUGGCCCACCAAUGACUAUUACAGUGUUACGGUGCUCUGAGAGGAGGUAGCCCUGGAGAUGGGUACUUGAGACACUGGACCCAGUGCCCUAUGUGGGCGCAGUCAGUGCGAGUAAAACUUUUGCAACUGUUGCGAAAGUCACGACAAUGGUUAAUCGCGAGUUGGUUUUCUGCUACAACGGAACCUUUUGGUCUGGUCCUAUGAAACACCGUAUGAAUAGUAGUGGGUGGUGCAGGUUUCUGGUGUUCAGCUCGCCGCGGGUUAAAAACCUAGCACCUUCAAGUUGGUCAGGCAUGCAUUAUUUGGGCCCUACACGCAUCCCGUUAGCCCGGGCUU
rnacentral:rRNA from 1 species